CCUUCAAUCCCCUUUGGGCCUGGCUACAUCUCCUUCUCCCCCAACCUCCUUCUUCACCACCGGCCACUGCCACAGCCAGGCCGACUUGGUGGUGCGCCCCCAAUCAUCCAUCCAUGCCAUCUCCAUCGCCCGCCGCAAGCACACCAUCAUUCACCAGUGCCACCAUCACCUCCAGCCACCACUCCACCAGCGCCACUACAUCACCAUCACACUCGCGCCAUCAAUAGCCACCUCUCUUCUCCUGCGUCUUCUGCAACUUCCUGCUGCUUCCCUCAUCCUCCCUCUGUUGUGCUAAAUCUCUACACCCUGCUGCUGAAUCUCCCUCUCUCUCUCUCCAUGUUGAAUCUGCUGCUUCUCUUCUCCAACGCCCUCUGCUGCUACUCCCUCUCCCCAAAGCUGUUGUUGCUCUUCUUCUCCCCUCGUCUAAAUUUCUCGCCUCCUCUCCAAACUGCUGCCGCUGCUUCUUCUCCCACGAAAUUGCUGCUGCUCCCUUCUGAACCCAAACUGCUGAAGGUUUUCUUCCCUUACCUAGCAGAUGCACCUCCUCCGCUCAACCUCCCUCUUGCUGCUCCUUUUCUCCCGCUGUUGAGUCUCUCCUCCUCUCCAAACUGUUGUUGCUCCUUUACAUCACACGAAGACGAUGCUGGUCGCUCCUUUACAUCACACGAAGACGACGUUGGCUGCUUCUCCUUCAACCUGCCCUCUCUCUCUCUCUCUAAAUUUUGUGUUAGAACAAUCUUCGUUGAAAUGGCAUUCUACUCCGAUCAUCAUGCUUAUGUGAGCAAUAGCACAAAUAGCACCGAAAGUGUUCAAGACCUGAUAAGUAAUAUUUCCCAUCAAUUAGAUGAAUUAGCUCAGCAGCGAGGUAUAUAUGUUGAGAAUCCACCUAGUUGUUAUGAUCCUUAUUAUGUAGGCCAUCCUUAUGCUGCUCCUACAUGCCAUAUUUGUGGAUUUCAGGGCCAUCCACCCGGUGAAUGUCAGCAUGGUUACUCUUACCCUCCAGAUUGUUUUGUUAUGAGCUUCGCCCCACAGCAUAGCUCAUACCACAACAAUUACUCACAUGGGUGGCCUGAAAACCAGAAUAUGUCAUAUAAGAGCAACAACCCUGAGAUCUCACCAUUGGCUUCAAGAGAUCAUAUGUAGGGAUUUAGGUAUGAACAGGAGAGCCACAACUAUGCACCACAACAAUUCUAUUCAGCUCCUACUAAUAUACCUCAACAUCAUGAGAUGUGUACAAUGGAGUUAAAUGGUCCUCCAUUUGGUGAGCCAACACCUCCAGCGCAUGUUGAGUAUCUAGUGCAAGUGCCUACUCAAGAUGAUUUUGACGACAUAGAGAAGCUCACACUUCUUAGCCUCGAGUUCACUUAGAGCACUCAGGAUGAUCCUAUUAGGAAGGUUAUACUAGAGGAAAUGAAUAAGAUCAAGACUGGGAAAGAGCUUUUUCGAAAAGGAACUGGGAAAGAGCUAGUGGAAGAAGUGAGGAAGAUUGAGAAGAAUAUCAAUGCUGGAGGUACUAUCUCAUCACUGCUUGAGCUGAGUGUUGCUGGGAUUUCCCUGGAUACAUGUGAGGUUCCAAUACCUUCACAUUCACUUCAGAAAGAUAACAUACACGAAGAGGAAGAGAGACCUCAGAGUGAAGAUGUACUCGAAGCCAAGGCACAAGAUGACCCAAAGCUCGAAUUCCCAAAUGAUCAAGUAGAAGAACCAUCAUCUCUCACUCUUGAAGAAGUAAAAGAAGCUGUUGUACUUGAAGAUGAAGAACUAGAGAUCCAUUUGCCAAUCGUCAUACAAGAGUGUGAUGUAACAGGUUUAUCUAAUCCUCUUGAUGGCAUGCGUCCUUAUGAUUUCUUUUCUUCUACGUUGCAUUACAAGAUACAAUCACUUAAAGUAGACUUGAAAAAUCAUUUGCUUGGAGAUGAUGAUACUCACCCUGUUAGUGGCAUUGCUCAUAUUUCUAUUGAUGAUACUUGUUCUCCUCAUGCUAGAUCUAUGCUUAAUGAUAAAUAUUAUCACCAUGCUAGUAUUGAGCUUGCUGAUUCCUACUAUCCUAAGCAUGUGAUUUAUUGCUAUGGUUAUAUAAUUGGGUACUCUAUAGAUGAUUUAGAGGGCAUUUCCCUACCGCUUGCAUUUUCUCUGUUGUUGAGUGCUCUUUCAGGUUUUUGCUUGUGCACGAUCUACUACAUGCGGACCAGCUUCGAGGUGACAUUCCUUGGGACCCUGGUGGAUUCAAAGCAUGGUGAAGAGGAGAAGCAAGGGGCACUCAUGAAGAAGAGUGAAGCUAGAGCGGGCAUGAGAUAAGUAAGAGGAGAAGAUUUGUAGUUUGGAGAGUGGUUGAGCGAGAGUUACUUCAUAAAGCCCGAAAAGGGCGAAAAGGCCCAAAUUUCUUCUAUUGUGGACAUGAAGAGAAGUUGUUGCCCCUGCAAAUCCACCGAGGGACCUGAACAUGAAGGAAAGAAGUAACCAAGAUGCCAAGCUAAAGAAGAAAUGGAUCUCCUUGUGAAGAAAGAAGAGAAGUAGGAGGGCUAAAUAGCAAGAAGGCACAUCAGAUCGGAGGGA